rnacentral:rRNA from 1 species
UACAGAGGGGGCGAGCGUUGUUCGGAAUUACUGGGCGUAAAGGGCGCGUAGGUGGCCUGUUAAGUCGAACGUGAAAUCCCCGGGCUCAACCCGGGAACUGCGUCCGAGACUGGCAGGCUCGAAUCCGGGAGAGGGAUGUGGAAUUCCAGGUGUAGCGGUGAAAUGCGUAGAUAUCUGGAGGAACAUCGGUGGCGAAGGCGGCAUCCUGGACCGGUAUUGACGCUGAGGCGCGAAAGCCAGGGGAGCAAACGGG